GCCGAGCCAGGCAGUUGUGGCCUGGGGCUUCAGGGGUAAAGAUUGGCUUCCUAGCUGGUAAAAGAGGUGCUAGCACCAUGGACAGAGCAGUUGCUGGCAGGGAUUAAGGGAGCAGAGGCCCUGAAGUAAGGGUGAAGUAGGUUCUGGACUUGUGGGGAAGCGGCCCAGGGAAAUGUGCUGAACAGUUAGAAGGGAUGGAGCAAGAGGCUGCCCCUAGGGGGUCCCUGGGUUGGCACCUGGAGUAGUGGACAGAUCCUCCCCUCUUAACCACUGAGAGAAAUGACUGGGCAAAUUGACUGCAAUGUACUGACCCCCAGAACGGGGAGAAACAGACAGUGACGUGGCUGAAGGACUGAGUCAUGAAGAGCGUGCAGCGGUUCCUGGAGAGACUGCCAGUGGAGACAGAGCGAUGGGGUGCAAACUAUGGAUGUGGGGCAUUGUCCUUGAGCAAAUACCCACAGCAACUAGGAGAAGGACCCAGUCCAGUGGACAGGACCUAGGUAACAGGAUGAGGAUCAAUGGACCACUACCAUGUCUUGCAGCUCUGAGGACCCUCGCGAUGACAGGACAGCUCCGGAUCCCAUCCAAAUUGAUUGAAUGCUCCAGGUGCACUCUAGCUAUUAAGCAAUCAGCAGCUGUUCAUUGUUUUCAUGCCUCAAGACAAUAGAGAUCAUCCUUUAAAUAUAAGACUUACCGUAAUUACAUCUUUGAAGCUAUCAAAGAGUGGACAGAAUUUAGCAUGAACAAAAGUUUUCAAAUACUCCAGCAUCUCUUUUCCCCUUGAUUCAUGAACCUAGGUUCCUUCAAUGCCAGUGGGAGUUGUUCGUCUCCACUGAUAGCUCCAUCUUUA